GUAAAUUUCCACCAAGUCCAAGUAUUAAGUGGAUGGUACGUAGAGAUUCACAUAAUCGCGAGGGUCGUCGACGCAGACCUCGCAAUGAACGAGACCGAUUCUCAUUGUCAGUCGACGAUGGUCGCUCGUACAUGACCGAUCGUCUUUCUCUUCAAGCCCAGAUUUGCACGUUAAGCCGUACCGACAGUCUGUAUUUAAUCAUGUUCUUGAUGUUGAUGGGAGCAUUCGUUCUCUUCCUAGACUGGCCAGUUACAGAAUCAGUAUUUCACACGGCACCAGGUCCAUGGGUCAUCGCAUCUGAAGGCGAAAUUUGGCCUCUUCCACUUCAUGAUAUACCUCAAGAUGGAUACUUUUUGCUACAAUCCUCGAAUUUUCAGUUCAAGGUUCUCGGGGAGUCCUGCGACAUUGUCGACGAUGCUAUAAGGAGAUACACUGAUAUCUUAAAAUCCGCCGAGCAAACUGAUCGAAGAGUUUACGACUCCUCGAAGAGAUAUACGAACUAUUUAUUUAAAUUUAAGGGUUAUCUCACGGGCAUUGAUUUUCGAUUGAUACAGCCAUGUGAAAAGUAUCCUCAUCUACUUAUGAAUGAAACAUAUACAUUGAAGAUCGUUGAGUCGAGCAACACUGCCACUUUGACAGCCGAGACAGUCUGGGGACUUUUGCGAGGUCUAGAGACAUUUUCGCAGCUGUGGAUUCCAACUGGAUACAAUCCAAGUCUAGUAGUAAAAUGUCGGACCAUAGUGGACGGUCCACGACUUCCUCAUCGAGGACUCCUCCUGGACACAUCUCGACAUUUUCUGCCCCUGUCCGACAUUCUGCUGACCAUGGACGCCAUGUCCUACAACAAAUUAAAUGUUCUCCACUGGCACAUCGUGGAUGACAACAGUUUUCCUUAUCAGAGCAUGACCUAUCCCGAGUUAUCUGUCAAGGGUGCCUACCAUUCCUCGAUGGUGUACACUCCGGAAGACGUGAAAAAAGUCAUCGAGUAUGGGAGAUUACGCGGUAUCAGGAUACUUCCGGAAUUCGAUUCACCAGGACACACCAACUCCUGGGGAUUGGCGUAUCCUGGACUGCUGACCCCUUGUUACGGCAGCAACGGGAAGCCGGAUGGUACCCUGGGUCCCAUGAAUCCCACGGAUCCUUUGAUAUAUCGUUUCCUGAGAGGACUUUUCUCCGAGAUCACCCAGGUAUUCCCCGACCAAUUCGUCCAUCUCGGUGGAGAUGAAGUGCCCUUUGAAUGCUGGGCCAGCAAUCCGGACAUUUUGGAGUACAUGCGCGAAAAUGGGAUGGCUGGGAAUUUUUCGCGCCUCGAAGAAGAGUACAUCCGGAAACUCUUAGAUAUAACGAGUCAAUUCAACGCGAGCUCGAUUGUGUGGCAGGAGGUCUUUGAUAACGGGGUGAACCUUCAACCUAAUGUGGUGGUCCAUGUGUGGACGGGACAUUGGCAAAAUGAGAUAAAUCUGGCCACCAGAGCCGGUCAUCCAGUUUUGCUCUCCGCUUGCUGGUAUCUGGACCACAUAGCAGGUGGAGGAGACUGGAAGAAGUUCUACAAUUGCGACCCUCUUAGCUUUCCAGGCAACAGUAGGCAAAAGAAGUUGAUGCUAGGUGGAGAAGCCUGCAUGUGGGGAGAAUUCGUAGAUAGGAACAAUGUACAUCAGAGAAUCUGGCCUCGCGCAUCUGCAGCUGCGGAACGACUCUGGAGUACCAAAACGGCAGAUUAUAAUUCCGCUGCAGCGCGUCUUGAAGAACAUGCGUGUCGCAUGAAUAGACGUGGCAUUCCCGCGCAACCACCUAAUGGACCUGGAUUCUGUGUGCUUUAGAUACAGAUCGAAAGCUUCUUCCCCAUAAUUCUUCAUUAUAGGUCUGACGACAAGGUCGUUCAGAUCUCGAAUAAAGUAUCACAGGGGAUUUUUGUAGUCCCUAAAUAAAUAUGUAAAAAAAGUCGUUUAGACUUUUUAGGACGGUAUUUUAUUAAUUUUAGACCGCAGAGUAUUUCUCAGGAGAUUCGAAAAAAAAACAGCCGACGAGUUGCCAUCGCGACUCUUAAACAGAGGCUGUCAGAUUCAGAAAUUCUGGUCACCACUAGGUGACUUCGUUCCCGGAGGCCAAAUUUUAGUGAUAACAUUGAAAAUGUCAUAAUUUCUGUAAUUAGGGUAAAAUUGAGCUAGACCUCUGCACCCUCCUCGCGAAAUUAGGAAGGCAGGCUUUAUCCCUUUAAGAUCUUCCGUAAGAUGCAAUGAUGAGCGGGUGUUGCGGAAAUUCGACGGAGACGCCAGGUUUCUCUUUGUGUCCACCACCGUGUUUUCCUCCACCUCUACCAAAAUGUUGUCCACCACCAUGUCCACC